UCCUUAAAUAACAAUCAAAUAUCUUACUCAAAAAUGUUAGAAGAUUACUCAAGAUUGUUAUUAAAAGAAAAAAAACAAAAAAAGGAGAAAGGAAAAAUCGUCAAACAAGUAUGAAAUCCAAUGCAUAAUUAUAGGAAGAUGAGCAUGCAGUUCAUCUGCAAAAUAAAAUUUAUUAAAGGAAUAUGACUUGUUGGUAUUAGAAAAUUGUGAAAAUUAAAUACAAUGUUUCAUUUGUGCAUGACAAUAAGAGGCAAGAAAAUUUAACUCCAUGGCCAAUCUAUUAAAGUAUUUAACUCCAUGCAGGAGAUAAUGUUUCUGAUAGAUCAACUGGUGUUUAAACAAUCUCUAAUACCUUAACAACAUGAUUAUUAUAAUCAUGAUAGAAAAAAAUGACAAAUACUGGCCAUGCACGUGGAAAUUACAUAUAAUAUUUCAGCGAAUAAAAUUAUAUUGGCUAGAGCAGAAAAAUUUCCUUGGAAAUAAUUACUUGGGUGCUAAUUGAUAUAUUUUUCUGAUAAAAUGUAAAUAAUCUAUUAUUUAAAUAAUAUUUUUUCCACCUAUAAUAUGGAUCGAUAAAGAAAAAAAACGAUGCACGUACGUAAACCGAAUCAAAUUGCAGUCAAUGACAGACGUAUUGAGAAGGAAUGAAAUUUGUAUCAAUAAUAACGCAAUUAAUUAUUUCAAUGUUAUUAUUUUCCAAUAUAUUUGGUGACAGUUCUAGGAUCCUACCCAACUCAUCAUGGAAAAAUUUAACUCUUACUGAAAGAAUGUUGAUUCUGUUACUUGGAAUAUGUAACCUUGGGUUUAAGAACACCAUAUACUAUACUGGAAAUCAUUCGGAUCUGACUGAAGAUUUGUUGAAAAUGUCAUCUUCUAAAAAUCCGAAAUCCUGGAUUCUUACAUCCACCACAGGGUAUACAAAAUUUAGAAAUCUAACAACUAUUAAUGGAUAUGUGAUUGUAUUCAGCGAAUCUGAAGAAUUGGUCAAAAUAAUAUGGCGUAUAAUGCUAAAUUGGCAAUGUGUAAAAACUUGUAAAGUGAUUUUUUUAUCAAAAGUGCCACGAUCUUGUGAUCAUGCACGUGAUGCUAUCGCGAGAUUGGGACACGCAUAUUAUGAGGUGAUCUACUAUAUUUGUGAUGACAAGAAAUACGGUCCGAUAGUUUUGACACAAGAUAAAUAUCAAAAUAUUCAACAACCUUAUUGGACCCAUGUGUCGUGGAAAGUUGAUUCUUUGUAUCUUGGAAGUUUCUACUUGCGUAAAUACAAUAUAGAUUUAUGCCGUAACUUGAACUUUUAUCGCCAAAUGCCGUCAGAAAACAUCGACAUAUUAGUAGGAUGUCAAAGAAAGGUAACAUCAGAGUCAGAAAUGGUGCCAGACUUUAUCUAUCGUGAAGAUAUGAAUAAAUUAAAAACAGAGUUUCUACUCCCCUCAAUUUUGCUUAUUGGGAAAGUAUUGAACAUUACAUUUGCAGCUUAUAUACAAUCGUAUUUAUACAAAAAAGGCCAUAAUGCUGAUAAAUUAUAUCCACUACUAUGGAUUAAAACUCAUGUCGAUAUAACGUCACAUGGCCAAGCCUUAGUCUAUAACAAUUUGAUUACAUACCUGAAUCCUGAUUACUACGACACUUUUAUUAUUCUUUCUUUUAAAUCAGCCGAAGCUACACCUCUUGAAAAAAUAUACAAGUUUUAUGGAAUUUGGACUUUAAUAUCACUGAUUAUGAUUUUAAUCAUUACUUUUGUCGUGAUAUACUUGAAAUCUCAUAGGAAUGCAGCUUCGGCGGCUUUCAAUGUCCUUAGACUUCUGAUAAACUCAGGAGUUGAAAUUCCAAUCAAUACUUUAUCACUGAAAAUAUUCUUUUGCAUGAUAUUCUUGUAUUUUACGGUAAUUCAUGCAACUUUCAGUGAAAAUUUGCCGAGGUUUCUUACGAUACCUGAAAUCCAUGACACCAUAGACUCCCUUGAAGAUCUAUUGAAUCCUCGAAUUACAACGAUUUAUGAUAUAGGCUUCUAUAAUGAUGAUAAUAAAUUAACAAAUGAAGUUAUUAACAGAAAAAGAAAGUAUCUUAGAGAUCCUUAUGAUCUUAUUCAGCACUUCAUUGCAGAUAAGACUUCAGUUUGUAUAAUAAACAAAAAGGAUUCAGUAUUUGUAUUUAAAUUGAAAGGUUUUCUAGGAAAAAUUCAUAUGAGUAAAAAUGAAUUUGGAGACAUUAAAGGUGGCCUUAUAGUUCGACGUCGAUUUUUCUUACAAGAACAGUUUCAAUGGGCUACAACUUAUCUAUUUGAUGUUGCUGUACAUACAUUAUACAAAAAGGAACACUAUAAAAUUGAAAGAUCAAUCGAGAAACACCAAAUUCUCUCACAAAUAAAUUUUCGAAAAAUAACUCUUAAUGAUUUAAGAUUUUCAUUUAUUUUUUUAAUUAUUGGAAAUACCUUCGGACUUGUGUGUUUCUUUAUUGAGCUUACAAUUAGUAAAAAAUAUCAUCGAAAAAUUAGAUUGUAUUUUCUCAAAAAAUAUAUGACAUUUAAGAGAAAAAAAGCUCGCAAUAAUAUUCGAAGAAUUGUAGUCAAGCCGAAACCAUUGAAGCCGGAAUUAAUUAAUUAAUUAUUACAGAUAUAGAUGGAAUUUGAUUUGAUUGAAUUGCUUCAAUAAAAAACUCGAUUGAGUUGAAACUUGGUAUUUAUUGAUAGUCUGAAGUAUUCAAGAAUUAUUUUCUGUUAUUUUCAUACACCAAAACAAUGCACUUUGAAGUAUUUUCUUGAAUCUUGCUUCACUCUUUUUUAUUCCGCCAUUACUUCAAUUGUUAUUUUAAUAUAUAAAAUUGUCGAGCAUGGUGUUUAAUAAUUUUACUAAAAAUAUCGACUUGGAUGUGAACGAAGCUACUACUUCAAUAAUAUGUUUCUAAUGAUAAUAAUGUUAAAUAAAAUGAUAUAAACUUUGCAUCUAAUUAUCAGUUCAUCAUUACAUAUGGAGAUGCUAAUUAUGAAGUGACUGAUGCCAUUGAACGAUCUGAAAUCACGACAAAAAUAAUUAUUGGAGACCAUGAUGUGAUGGAGAAUAAAAUCAAAUAUCUCCAUGCUCACCAGCCGUUAUUCUUAAUCAUUUCAACAUCUCUCACUGAUCUUGAUCAUUACCUGAACAAUUUGAGGAACUUUGACUUGUGGAACAUUCAACAACCAUUUUUUAU
rnacentral:misc_RNA from 1 species